rnacentral:rRNA from 1 species
GCGAAAUGCGAUACUUGGUGUGAAUUGCAGAAUCCCGUGAACCAUCGAGUCUUUGAACGCAAGUUGCGCCCAAAGCCGUUAGGCCGAGGGCACGUCUGCCUGGGCGUCACG